UACAGAGGCCUCGAGCGUUAGGCGGAAUCACUGGGCUUAAAGCGUGUGUAGGCGGACUUCUAAGUACCUUGUGAAAUCCCACGGCUCACCCGUGGAACUGCUGGGUAUACUGGUCGUCUUGAGCCUUCCAGGGGCUACCGGAACAAAUGGUGGAGCGGUGAAAUGCGUAGAUAUCAUUUGGAACGCCAAUGGUGAAAACAGGUAGCUGGGGAAGUGCUGACGCUGAGACACGAAAGCCAGGGGAGCGAACGGG
rnacentral:rRNA from 1 species